UACGGAGGGUGCAAGCGUAAUCCGGAUUUACUGGGUUUAAAGGGUGCGUAGGUGGGUUGGUAAGUCAGUGGUGAAAUCCCCGAGCUUAACUUGGGAACUGCCAUUGAUACUAUCAGUCUUGAAUACCGUGGAGGUCAGUGGAAUAUGUCAUGUAGCGGUGAAAUGCUUAGAUAUGACAUAGAACACCAAUUGCGAAGGCAGCUGGCUACACGAAUAUUGACACUGAGGCACGAAAGCGUGGGGAUCAAACAGG
rnacentral:rRNA from 1 species